rnacentral:rRNA from 1 species
UACGAAGGGGGCUAGCGUUGUUCGGAAUCACUGGGCGUAAAGCGUAUGUAGGCGGAUCGUUAAGUCGGGGGUGAAAUCCCGAGGCUCAACCUCGGAACUGCCUUCGAUACUGGCGAUCUUCGAGUCCGGGAGAGGUGAGUGGAACUCCGAGUGUAGAGGUGAAAAUUCGUAGAUAUUCGGAAGAACACCAGUGGCGAAGGCGGCUCACUGGCCCGGUACUGACGCUGAUAUACGAAAGCGUGGGGAGCAAACAGG